UACGUAGGGUGCAGGCGUUAAUCGGAAUUACUGGGCGUAAAGCGUGCGCAGGCGGUUUUGUAAGCCAGAUGUGAAAGCCCCGGGCUCAACCUGGGAAUGGCAUUUGGGACUGCAAGGCUGGAGUUUGGCAGAGGAGACUGGAAUUCCUGGUGUAGCAGUGAAAUGCGUAGAUAUCAGGAGGAAUACCGAUGGCGAAGGCAGGUCUCUGGGCUAUAACUGACGCUCAUGCACGAAAGCGUGGGGAGCGAAA
rnacentral:rRNA from 1 species